GUCCUACGGGGGGCAGCAGUGAGGAAUAUUGGUCAAUGGGCGCUAGCCUGAACCAGCCAAGUAGCGUGAAGGAUGACUGCCCUAUGGGUUGUAAACUUCUUUUGUCAAGGGACAAAAUCAGGCUCGAGAGCCUGACCGAGGGUACUUGAAGAAAAAGCAUCGGCUAACUCCGUGCCAGCAGCCGCGGUAAUACGGAGGAUGCGAGCGUUAUCCGGAUUUAUUGGGUUUAAAGGGUGCGUAGGCGGACUGUUAAGUCAGCGGUAAAAGCCCGGGGCUCAACCCCGGCGAGCCGUUGAAACUGACUG
rnacentral:rRNA from 1 species